GUAGGAGGCGAGCGUUAUCCGGAUUCACUGGGCGUAAAGCGCGUGCAGGCGGUUUGGUAAGUUGGAUGUGAAAGCUCCCGGCUCAACUGGGAGAGGUCGUUCAAUACUACCGAACUCGAGAGUAGAAGAGGAAGAUGGAAUUCCCGGUGUAGUGGUGAAAUGCGUAGAUAUCGGGAGGAACACCAGUGGCGAAGGCGAUCUUCUGGUCUAUUUCUGACGCUCAGACGCGACAGCUAGGGUAGUAAACGGGAUUAGAGACCCCGGUAAUCCUAGCCGUAAACGAUGUGAACUUGGCGUCGGUGGCUUAAACACCAUCGGUGCCGAAGCAAACGCGAUAAGUUCACCGCCUGGGGACUACGGCCGCAAGGUUAAA
rnacentral:rRNA from 1 species